rnacentral:rRNA from 1 species
AUGAGUUGCUUCCAGCUCACCAAGAAAUUGUGCGGGAACCUGACAUCUAUCUCUUCUAACUUUUGGUGGGGAGAAGCAAAUGGUGAGAAGAAGGUUCACUGGAUUGCGUGGAAGAAAAUGUGUGAGAGUAAGCAGGAAGGAGGGAUGGGUUUUCGAGAUAUGGAAGCUUUCAACCAAGCCUUACUCGCCAAGCAAGCUUGGAGAUUACUGCAGGUCCCGUAUUCUCUGUGUGGGCGCGUCCUCAAGGCACAUUACUAUGAUCAUGGUACAAUUCUCAAUGCGACAUGUCCAAGUGGAGCAUCAUAUACUUUCAAAAGUAUUGUGCAUGGUCGGAACUUGCUCCUGGAUGGUCUUAUAUGGAGAGUGGGCGACGGCCCUUCCAUACGCAUCCACCAUGAUAGUUGGAUCCCUCGCAAAGGUUACCUAAGGCCACUGGGCCAGGUGUUCAUACCAGGGAUAACGAGGGUGAGCGAUCUUCUAAACAACGAGUCCACAGGGUGGGAUCGGCAGAAGCUACAAACUAUGUUCACGGAAGAUGACGUUCAGGAUAUUAUGCAGAUUUGUGUGGGUGGUCCGGGCGCAGAAGACACUUUGGCAUGGAACUUUACGAAGAACGGACAAUUUUCAGUGAAGUCGGCUUAUCAUCUUUGCAUGCAAAAGAAGAAAGCGAGAGCAGCACAGCCUGCCUCGUCCUCAACGGCGGUGAACCACAGGAGUUGGCUGGCGCUUUGGGCCUCCAAUGCGCCGGGUAAGGUGUUGAUCCAUGUGUAG